UUAUUUUAUUUUCCGCGCCCAAGUGUACCAUACGACCACCCCCUGCCCAUUCUUCAUAUAUUUUGUGGCGGUGGGUCAGUUCAUCAAAACACCCAAAACAAGAACCAAACUUAAAUUUCAGUUCUAGCGGCCAGCAAUACUAGAACACACACAUGCAAAGUACGUAAGAAUGCGUGUGUACCCAUGCAUUAAAAUAUUCUGGAGGCACAACAGAAAACAGAAAUUACCCUCUAGUACUGGCGGUGGCGACCGACCAUGCCCGAACUACUGAUUUGGCUGGUUCUUACAUGGGUACUUUCCGGACUAACCCUAUGGUAAACGAACGCCGAACCAAAUGAAGAGAGCAGGUAGCUAAAAAUGAUGCUGAUCUGCUCUUCUCCUUUCCCUUUUUUGUUUUCGUUUGUGCCUUUGUGCAAAUCAGUGCGGCUGUCCAAGUGAUUAUAAUUAUUCAAUUUUAAACAGUAAGUCAAAGCAAAUGUAUAGCGAACGGCAUUUGCGUAGGCUCAAUAAAGAAAUAUAAGAAAAAUAUGCAGCCAAACAUAAUCGUGUUAGCGGAGAAACAGUGUCGUGCAGUGAAAUAGAAAAAGUUGAAGGCCGCGAAAUAGGAGAGACAAUCGACGAAAAUGAAAAAAUGGAAAGUGACACUGAAAAAUGUAAAGAACUUCUUUGGAGUUUUGAUUGAUGCCAUAACUGUAGAUACGGGGACUGGAUCAGCUGAAGUUCAGCUUAGGAAGGCCCUACAGCUGCAAAAGAAACGUUUUUUCAAAAACAGUACCACCGCGAACAGCAGACCUUAAUUAGUAAAUUUAAAAACUAAAAAUUUAAAUAUGAAAUGAAAUAAAGAUUGAUAACCUACUUCAUGGUUACCCAUUUCACUAUCUACAACAUGGGUACCCAUUUCACUAGGUGCUACAUGGGUACUCAUUUCACUAGCUACUAGAUGAGUACCCAUAUCACUAGUUCGGGGGUAAACGAUGUGGUGUCGCUGGUCCCCAUGUCGUGGGACAUUGCGGGUAAAAAUGGAAAUGAUGAAAAGCAUUGUUAAUGGUUAGUAAAGAAAGUACCCCUGGUCUGGAACAAGUUCCCAGUACUGCUGGGAACUUAUUGCGUGUGUACUAACACAUGCAAAGAGGUUCUCUCUGCGCUCUCUCAUAAUGACGCGUAAUGACCCGAACGCCACAGCCGAAGUCUCUGAACUGGCACAUCUAUAUACUGUAUGGUUAGUGCAUACACCAAAUUCUGUUUUUAUACGGUAGAUUGGGUCCCGAAAAACCUGUGUAAAAAACCGUGCAAAAAAAGGCAUUGAUCGUAUGUAAUAAUAGGGAAAAAAUUAGGGAACGUUGGAACAAUGAAAAACAAUGAAGGGCAAAAUAAAGUUCGCGCCUAGAUAUUUUUCAAGUCGUAAUUAGUAAAAAAAAGAAAAAAAACAACAGACACAAUAAAAAAUGAAGAGACCAGCAAUUGGUGGUAAUAAGUAAACAUUUGUACAUGGCAUAGAUGGAAAAUAUUGCUAUAUUUAUUUGGCAUGAUGGUAAUACGGAUUUUUGGGGGGUCCCGAAAUAAUUCCGUUAAUGUCGACCGUGACAGAUUUCUGCAACCAAAGCGCACAAAAGCGGAUAAAACUGGGAAAUCUUCUGGAGAUUGCUGGAAGUCCAAAAAGAGCAGCAGAAGUAACAGGAUGAGCACCAGGAAACAAAGCGGGAGAUACUACAGUAAAUUGCGAGCAGCCAAGGCCAAACCGAUUUCCAGACCGAGCUGCUGCAGUUUUUAAAGGAGUUCAAAGGGUAACGUUUAUUGUACAUGUAUUGAUUGUUUUAUUAUAGCAAAUAAAAUAGCUAAUAUACUAUUUUAAAGUUGUGAAAACUUUGUAAUUUUAUGCUCAUCAGCUGCUUUCUGUCUGCUGGUAGAUGGUGGAUGGUGCCAGUGUGUUCUUCCUUUCCUACCUAUGUACUUACCAUGUCCAAGAGAUCCUGUUGUUAUUCUGUAUUCCGUUGCAACUUAACGAAUUAUUCGCAAAAAAUGCAAGCACAACUGAAUCCGCCGGCACCUGAUUAUGUACUUUUGUACACAAACAGGUACACACCUUGAACGUUUUAAAUUAUUAUACCCGAUACUCAAAAUGAGUAUUCCGACCCCAUAAAGUAUAUAUAUUCUUGCUCAGCAUCAAUAGCCGAGUCGAUUGAGCCAUGUCUGUUUGUCCGUCCGUAUGAACGACUAGUGCUCAAAGACUAUAAAAGCUAGAGCAACAAAAUUUUGUAUCCAGACUUCUGUGAUUUCUCACUG